rnacentral:siRNA from 1 species
GAGGAACGUGAUGGAGUGUAUUAU